rnacentral:rRNA from 1 species
GAUGAACGCUGGCGGCGUGCCUAAUACAUGCAAGUCGAGCGAACGGACGAGAAGCUUGCUUCUCUGAUGUUAGCGGCGGACGGGUGAGUAACACGUGGAUAACCUACCUAUAAGACUGGGAUAACUUCGGGAAACCGGAGCUAAUAACAGAUGAUAUUUUGAACCGCAUGGUUCAAAAGUGAAAGACGGUCUUGCUGUCACUUAUAGCUGGAUCCGCGCUGCAUUAGCUAGUUGGUAAGGUAACGGCUUACCAAGGCAACGAUGCAUAGCCGACCUGAGAGGGUGAUCGGCCACACUGGAACUGAGACACGGUCCAGACUCCUACGGGAGGCAGCAGUGGGGAAUAUUGGGCAAUGGGCGAAAGCCUGACCGAGCAACGCCGCGUGAGUGAUGAAGGUCUUCGGAUCGUAAAACUCUGUUAUUGGGGAAGAACAGAUGUAGAAUUAACUGUGCACAUCUUGACGGUACCUAAUCAGAAAGCAACGGCUAACUACGUG